UGACAGGCCGCGAAGCAAUUGUCGCGGUCUUCCUCUUCAAAUUCGUGCCGGAAUCAGCUGCCACCAUUCUCGGCGGUAGAACGUGAUCUGCAUCUUCCGAUAUAGAGUAAAGAGACGGUUUCCAUUGAGGGAAUGAACCAACUGAUCUCGCCGAUCCUCGUCUUCUCCGUCGCCUUCGUUUAUACGUAAUAAUGGUGUUAAUAUCAGACGAUGCUACAGAAGCUGUAGGUACAAGGAUCUCCUCUUCUUCUUCUUCUUCAGUUCGAUGUGAUCGUUUUAAUGAACAG
rnacentral:misc_RNA from 1 species